UUCAAUUUUUGUUCUUUUUCCACAUUUUUUAAUUUUACAUCUGGGUUUCGAAUAGAUGAAAGGAGGUCUGAGCGGGGGGCAGGGGUGGAAGAAGGGGAAGGAAAAGA
rnacentral:ribozyme from 1 species